GACGAACGCUGGCGGCGUGCUUAACACAUGCAAGUCGAACGGACAGGCCCUGCUUUUGUGCGGUGCUCGAGUGGCGAACGGGUGAGUAACACGUGAGUAACCUGCCCUUGACUUUGGGAUAACUUCAGGAAACUGGGGAUAAUACCGGAUAGGAGCUCCUGCUGCAUGGUGGGGGUUGGAACGUUUCGGUGGUUGGGGAUGGACUCGCGGCUUAUCCGCUUGUUGGUGGGGUAGUGGCUUACCAAGGCUUUGACGGGUAGCCGGCCUGAGAGGGUGACCGGCCACAUUGGGACUGAGAUACGGCCCAGACUCCUACGGGAGGCAGCAGUGGGGAAUAUUGCACAAUGGGCGGAAGCCUGAUGCAGCAACGCCGCGUGCGGGAUGACGGCCUUCGGGUUGUAAACCGCUUUCGCCUGUGACGAAGCGUGAGUGACGGUAAUGGGUAAAGAAGCACCGGCUAACUACGUG
rnacentral:rRNA from 1 species